UACAGAGGGUGCGAGCGUUGUCCGGAAUCACUGGGCGUAAAGGGCGCGUAGGUGGCGACCCAAGUCAAUGGUGAAAGCUCGCCGCUCAACGGCGAGUCGGCCACUGAUACUGGGUUGCUUGAGCACUGUAGAGGCUAAUGGAAUUCCGGGUGUAGUGGUGAAAUGCGUAGAGAUCCGGAGGAACACCAGUGGCGAAGGCGACACGCUGGGCCAUACCUGACGCUAAAGCGCGACAGCAUGGGGAGCAAACGGG
rnacentral:rRNA from 1 species